GAUGAACGCUGGCGGCGUGCCUAAUACAUGCAAGUCGAGCGAACAGAUAAGGAGCUUGCUCCUUUGACGUUAGCGGCGGACGGGUGAGUAACACGUGGGUAACCUACCUAUAAGACUGGAAUAACUCCGGGAAACCGGGGCUAAUGCCGGAUAACAUUUAGAACCGCAUGGUUCUAAAGUGAAAGAUGGUUUUGCUAUCACUUAUAGAUGGACCCGCGCCGUAUUAGCUAGUUGGUAAGGUAACGGCUUACCAAGGCAACGAUACGUAGCCGACCUGAGGGUGAUCGGCCACACUGGAACUGAGACACGGUCCAGACUCCUACGGGAGGCAGCAGUAGGGAAUCUUCCGCAAUGGGCGAAAGCCUGACGGAGCAACGCCGCGUGAGUGAUGAAGGUCUUCGGAUCGUAAAACUCUGUUAUUAGGGAAGAACAAAUGUGUAAGUAACUGUGCACGUCUUGACGGUACCUAAUCAGAAAGCCACGGCUAACUACGUG
rnacentral:rRNA from 1 species